UGCUACCUAGGAGCCUUUUAUUUAUCCUGAGCAAAAGGAACAAAGCUGGAGGCAUCACACUACCCGACUUCAAAAUAUACUACAAGGUUAUAGUAACCAAAAGAGAGAGCAUGGUAUUGGUAUAAAAACAGACACAUAGACCAACAAAACAGGACAGAGAACCCAGAAAUAAAUCCAUGUUUCUAUGGCCAACUGAUUUUUGACAAAGGUGCCAAGAACAUAUAUUGGGGAAAAGACACCCUUUUCAAUAAAUGGUGCUGGGAGAACUGGAUAUCCAUAUGCAGAAGAACGAGAAUGUACCCCUAUCUCUCAACAUAUACAA
rnacentral:lncRNA from 1 species